rnacentral:rRNA from 1 species
AUGUCGAUUCCGUGGGAUUGGCGGAGGUUCUCCAAAUCGACGACGCCGUACAGUCAGUUCGUCACCCUCGUCGUCAAGGACGAGGCGGGCCGCAGGCUCACGCGCACCAUGAGGAAAACCGACAACCUGCAGGUUCUCGUCGACUUCUACUACAACACCAUGGCGCCCGUCGUCGAGCGCGGCUCAGGGGUUUUCGAGUACCGCGGCACGCAGAUUGUGUUUCCCCGGCAGCAGGUGCCGGUGGAGUUCGACAUGAAGGACGGCGACGUCGUCGACUUCGUCCCGGUGGUCAAGCCGCACACGCUCGUCACCCCCGUGCUCAAGGAGAGCUGCGAGGAAUCGCGCAGCUUCGCCUGCACCGUGCGGAGGACCGACGAGCUCAAGGGCUUGAUGUCUUUCUACUGCUCGACGGCGCGAAAGUUUGGAGCUGUUUUUGAGUUGGACGGCAGACGUCUUGUAGGAGACGAGACGCCGGCGGACUUGCAGCUUGAGGAUGGGGCAAGCAUCCACGUUUCUGAACCUUGA